rnacentral:lncRNA from 1 species
GCUGUGGGGUGGAGGCCAUGACUGGUGUGGAGGCCAUGACUGUGGUGUGGGUCCUGAGACAGAGGCAGAGAAGUAGAGGGACUUAAGGUGGGACAUGAGGAUGUUGGCUGAAGAGCGUCCAGAGGAGAUGGGGGAGCUUCUUACAAGGAGCCUUGCCUGCUGCCUUAAUGCUGCUGCUUGCCUUCUGCCCCACAUCCUGUUUGCUUGCUGUCACCCCUUUUAGAACGGUGCAAGUUCUUAUCUUUGGAUCGUGUCCAUUUUGCCAAAGGCCAGAACUGAACUCAACUCAACCAACUCCAGGAGAGCUUAUUAUGUGCAAGUUGGAGGGGAGCAGAUUGUGAUCGCUAUAGAAAUGUGAGCUGUUAUCAUUAUUACUCACCCUCUCCAGACAUUCCCGGUGACUCCCUCCUUGGCUUUGUUCACUCUGUUCCUUCCUGCGGGGAUGCCUUCCCCUUCAGCCUUUGGCUCGGAAAAUCCAGGCCAUCCUUCAAAGAUGGAGAAAUGGUCUCCGGGGGCCGAGCUGAAGCAUGUGUCAGGGCAGAGCCAGGAUUCCAACCUGAAU